UCUCAGAGUUUUGUCAAGAGCGCUAUAAAAAAUACAUUAAUAAAUCAUAGAAUGUUAGUGCUACAAGGGACUUCCAAACGCUAGCCCACAGCCUCAAUUUUUAGACAGAGAAAGCAAGCCCCAAGACUUGGCCAAACUUUCUAGUGAUAGAAUUUGCUAGUGAUAGAAUCUGGUCAUAGCAUUCAAGUUUUCAACUCCCGAAGACAAUCUUACCUCCAAAGUACUCCAAUUCCACAGCUUUAUUCUUAAAU
rnacentral:lncRNA from 1 species